UACGUAGGGGGCUAGCGUUGUCCGGAUUUACUGGGCGUAAAGGGCGCGUAGGCGGUUCGCUAAGUUGGAUGUGAAAACUCUGGGCUCAACCCAGAGCCUGCAUCCAAAACUGGCGGGCUAGAGUUCUGGAGGGGGUAGCGGAAUUCCUGGUGUAGCGGUGAAAUGCGUAGAUAUCAGGAGGAACACCGGUGGCGAAGGCGGCUACCUGGACAGAAACUGACGCUGAGGCGCGAAAGCUAGGGGAGCAAACAGG
rnacentral:rRNA from 1 species